CUCAGGAUGAACGCUAGCGGCAGGCUUAACACAUGCAAGUCGAGGGGCAGCGGGAUGUAGCAAUACAUUGCCGGCGACCGGCGGAUGGGUGCGUAACGCGUAUGCAACCUACCUUAUACAGGGGAAUAACCUUUCGAAAGGGAGACUAACACCCCAUAGUAUUGAUUUAAGGCAUCUUAGAUUAAUUAAAUAUUUAUAGGUAUAAGAUGGGCAUGCGUAUGAUUAGCUAGUUGGUAAGGUAACGGCUUACCAAGGCGACGAUCAUUAGGGGUUCUGAGAGGAAGGUCCCCCACACUGGUACUGAGACACGGACCAGACUCCUACGGGAGGCAGCAGUGAGGAAUAUUGGUCAAUGGGCGCAAGCCUGAACCAGCCAUGCCGCGUGCCAGGAAGACGGCCUUAUGGGUUGUAAACUGCUUUUACAUAAGACUAACCGUAUAUUUGCGAAUAUACCUGAAUGUAUUAUGAGAAUAAGGAUCGGCUAACUCCGUGCCAGCAGCCGC
rnacentral:rRNA from 1 species